UACGUAGGCAGCGAGCGUUGUUCGGAGUUACUGGGCGUAAAGGGUGUGUAGGCGGUUCUUUAAGUUUGGUGUGAAAUCUCCCGGCUCAACCGGGAGGGUGCGCCGAAUACUGAGGGACUAGAGUGCGGGAGAGGAAAGUGGAAUUCCUGGUGUAGCGGUGAAAUGCGUAGAUAUCAGAAGGAACAUCAGUGGCGAAAGCGGCUUCCUGGUCCAGUACCGACGUUCAGGCACGAAAGCGUGGGGAGCAAACAGG
rnacentral:rRNA from 1 species